rnacentral:rRNA from 1 species
UACGUAGGGGGCAAGCGUUAUCCGGAUUUACUGGGUGUAAAGGGUGCGUAGGUGGCAGGGCAAGUCAGAAGUGAAAACCCGGGGCUCAACCCCGCGGACUGCUUUUGAAACUGUCCGGCUGGAGUACAGGAGAGGUAAGCGGAAUUCCUAGUGUAGCGGUGAAAUGCGUAGAUAUUAGGAGGAACACCAGUGGCGAAGGCGGCUUACUGGACUGGUACUGACACUGAGGCACGAAAGCGUGGGGAGCAAACAGG